rnacentral:misc_RNA from 1 species
ACAUCGAGAAUACAUAACAAUCAAUGAAUUGCUUAUCCUAAUAUUGUCCCUAAACUCUUGCUUCAACACAUAUCGAUGUAUCCACAUGCCUAAACCAAGGGCACCCAAAUUUGCGCAGGCAGAGAGAACUGCAAUAAUGGUUACAUAGUCAGGCUGCACCAUAGAAACCUGCAUUUCUCUAAACCAUUCCAAUCCUUGCUCAAAAUGACCCCUCUUAACAAAUCCAUCAAUGAACACGGUCCAAGAAAUCGCAUCCCUCUCAGGCAUUUCAUCGAACAACUCAAUCGCAUCUGCUAUCUCCCCAUU